CAGCAGCCGCGGGAACACGUAGGGUGCAAGCGUUAAUCGGAAUUACUGGGCGUAAAGCGUGCGCAGGCGGUUAUAUAAGUCAGAUGUGAAAUCCCCGGGCUCAACCUGGGAACUGCAUUUGAGACUGUAUGGCUAGAGUGUGUCAGAGGGGGGUAGAAUUCCACGUGUAGCAGUGAAGUGCGUAGAUAUGUGGAGGAAUACCGAUGGCGAAGGCAGCCCCCUGGGAUAACACUGACGCUCAUGCACGAAAGCGUGGGGAGCAAACAGGAUUAGAUACCCCCGUAGUCCCUGUCUCUUAUAC
rnacentral:rRNA from 1 species